UCGAGUAUGAUGUAAUGGUUAACAUUGCUGCCUCUCAUGUAACAGACAGCAAUUAGGGGCUGUAAAUUUCACUGCACCUCGGGGUUCGAUUCUCCGUACUCGAA